UACAGAGGGUGCAAGCGUUAAUCGGAAUUACUGGGCGUAAAGCGCGCGUAGGUGGUUCGUUAAGUUGGAUGUGAAAUCCCCGGGCUCAACCUGGGAACUGCAUUCAAAACUGACGAGCUAGAGUAUGGUAGAGGGUGGUGGAAUUUCCUGUGUAGCGGUGAAAUGCGUAGAUAUAGGAAGGAACACCAGUGGCGAAGGCGACCACCUGGACUGAUACUGACGCUGAGGCGCGAAAGCGUGGGGAGCAAACAGG
rnacentral:rRNA from 1 species